UUUAAUGAAGAACAGGAAUUGCGUGACCAGAUUCCAUGUUGGCGGGUUAACUAAAGCCCGCUCUAUGGAUAAUGUGGCUAACUUCAGUGGGAUCCAAAACAUGGACAACUGGAAAGAGGGCCGUACCUCUGAUGCAUUCCAGCGUCAGGGGAUCCGUUUGAGCCCAGCACAUCUCUGUGGACCAGACCCAGAUCCAGAUCCCCCUCCGGAUCCGGCUCCAGUUUUUCCUUUCAGAUGUUAAUCUCACAGGGAAGCAGCUCCCUCACACAUCAUUCAAGCAGUGUGUGGGACGCCACCUCCGUUGAUGAUGAAGCCAUUGCAGUAUCUCCUCAUUCAGGAGGCAGCUACGUUUGCACUUUAACACCUCCGUAUUGGAUAACUACUUAGUAUCCCUAUUGGAGGAUGCAACUACCUAAUAAGCCUUAUGCCUCCAUGUUGGAUGACUGGUAGGCAAAUAAUAUCAUUUCAAAUAUAUUUGUCUGAACCAAACAAACUACACGUCGCAAUAAUCGAUGCCAGGUGAUGAUGCGAUAUUGGCCCAAAGUUCGGGGGUGAUGCUAAACGCCUUCCAAUUUUGCCGCCUAGACUUUGUCUCUUCUAAGAGAAAGCGUACUGCAACGUACAUAAUAUAAGUGCUGCAGCUACAUCUUGUCUUGUUUUUUAAGACGAAGUUACUGCUGCUAAGCUAUAAAUGCACAGAAAUUGCGUCAAUGAAUGCACCUGCACUUAACAGCGGAUGUUUGCACUCAGCUGCAUAUGCUGAAAAAAAGCGCCUUUGUCUGUGUACACACACAGCGCAUGAGUGGGCCCUGUUCUUUGCGUGUACCUAAAGCAGCACAGUUAAUAAGGAAAUGAUCCAUUACUGUCAAUAAUUAAAACAACUGAAUGUGAAUUAGCCAACCAUAUCAGAAUGGUAUCAUGACAUAAUAAAAUAGACAUAUAAUCCUGGGAUACACAUAUGCGGAUAUUUCUAUGAACAGUUU